CUUAGCUCAGCUGGAUAGAGCAACAGCCUUCUAAGCUGUGGGUCGAGGGUUCGAAUCCUUCAGG
rnacentral:tRNA from 1 species